rnacentral:lncRNA from 1 species
GGGAGUUUCUGCGGAGCUGCCCCGUGGGCAAAGCUACUUCAGUAUUUCUGCGAGGAACGUCACAUCUCACGGGGCAUCCCUCCUCUCCUCCCGCAACGUGACAGCUGUUCCGAGGGACGAGGCUGCGAGGCAGAGCGACUUAAAGCAAAAUUUGAGAUCCUCGCGUGCAGAAUAGGAGAUAACAUCUGGGCCAGAUUAAAGGCCCAGGCAUUGCAGACCGGCUCUGACAUCAGACUCCAGCAGUCAUGUGAUGAUAUCAGACUUUCAGAUUCUACUGGGGAGAAACCGCAAGUCAAAACUUUGUAGAGAAAGAAAAGAUGCUGCCUGGUGUCCAGGAUGAGAACUGCAUUUCUUUGUGGCUGAAAAAAUCCUUACAACAAAAACUUCACAGAGAAGGUCCUGGAGUUCAGCAGAGCAUAGGGGAGAGUUUGGACUCCUGCUGAUGGUGUAUCCAAGAUCAGGCUGUUUAUCUACUGCUUCUUUUCUCCUCUUCCAUCUCCCAGGGAGUUGAAAACAACACUGCCUCAGGAUAUGCUUCUUCAGCUGUAGUACUUUCAGCGUGAACUGUAUAGGAUUCUGAUUUUAAUUUGGCACUGCCCACCAGGCCACAGGGCAAGUCCAGUACUUUCCUUAUGAAAGCCACAUAGCCGUGGCUGUAUUUCAAAGCUAAAUUAUAAAAAGUCAUUUUAGAAAGUUUGAGUGCUAAAAUUUGUAAAGACCUGUAAUGCUAGGUUGAUACAGCUAAAACAUCCUUUCAAAAGAGAUUGCGUUUCAGACUGACAGAU